GUCCACGCCUUAAACGAUGAGAGCUAGUUGUCAGUAGGCAUGCCUAUUGGUGACGCAGCUAACGCAUUAAGCUCUCCGCCUGGGGAGUACGGCCGCAAGGUUAAAACUCAAAGAAAUUGACGGGGGCCCCGCACAAGCGGUGGAGCAUGUGGUUUAAUUCGAAGCAACGCGCAGAACCUUACCCACGUUUGACAUCCCGUGCUACCUAGAGAGAUCUAGGGUCCCUUCGGGGCGCGGAGACAGGUGCUGCAUGGCUGUCGU
rnacentral:rRNA from 1 species